rnacentral:rRNA from 1 species
CAGUCGCCGCGGGAAAACGUAGGGUGCGAGCGUUGUCCGGAAUUACUGGGCGUAAAGAGCUCGUAGGUGGUUUGUCGCGUCGUCUGUGAAAUUCCGGGGCUUAACUCCGGGCGUGCAGGCGAUGCGGGCAUAACUUGAGUGCUGUAGGGGAGACUGGAAUUCCUGGUGUAGCGGUGAAAUGCGCAGAUAUCAGGAGGAACACCGAUGGCGAAGGCAGGUCUCUGGGCAGUAACUGACGCUGAGGAGCGAAAGCAUGGGUAGCGAACAGGAUUAGAUACCCCCGUAGUCCCUGUCUCUUAUC